UACGUAGGGAGCAAGCGUUGUCCGGAAUCAUUGGGCGUAAAGCGCGCGUAGGUGGCCUCAUAAGUCCGCUGUGAAAGUCAAAGGCUCAACCUUUGAAAGCCGGUGGAUACUGUGGGGCUAGAGUACGGAAGAGGCGAGUGGAAUUCCUGGUGUAGCGGUGGAAUGCGCAGAUAUCAGGAAGAACACCCGUGGCGAAGGCGGCUCUCUGGGACGGUACUGACGCUGAGACGCGAAAGCGUGGGGAGCGAUCCGG
rnacentral:rRNA from 1 species